rnacentral:lncRNA from 1 species
AUGGAUUUGUGUUUGGCUUUUCACAGGGAAAAUAAGAGAGACAAAGAAAAGGUCAAGGAAAAAAAGACCAAAGAAAAGGAGAAAGAGAGAGAUGGAGAGCGAAACAAAGAUCGAGAGAGUGUUGGAGACAAGGAUAAGGACCAAGAUAGGGACAGAGACAAGGAAAAGGAGAAAGAUAAGGAGAAGGAAAAAGACAGGGAAGAAGUACACCAGAACAAGGAAAAAGAAGAUAUUAAGGAAGGGGGGGUAAAAGACAGAGAGAAGGUGAAGGACAAAGAGGGAGAUAAGGAUAAAGGAGGGGACAAAGAGAAAGAUAGAGACAAAGAAAAGGAAAAAGAUGGGGAUAAGUUGAAGGAGCAACAAAAAGGAACAGAUGAUGAAAGAAAGAAAGAGAAGCGAUCCAGAACACCCCCAAGAAGCUAUAGUUCUUCAAGAAGAUCUUGCAGCUCCAGCAGAGAAAGACAUAAAAGGAAGAGUAGAAGUCCUUCCAAGUCUCCUAAAACAUCCAAAGCAACAAAAAGAAAGUCUUCGCAAACUCCUUCUCCAAUAAGAAACAAGAAAGAAAAAAAAAGAGAAAGGGAUACAAAUAAUGAAAGAAGAGAGAGAGAAUGUUCCACCUCCAAGAAAAAAAGUGAUAAAGAAAAAGGUAGAAAGGAGCAAUCUGACCAAAGCACCACUACUUUGAAGGACAAAGAUCACAAGGAUCAAAAUUCAGAAACUGUCAAGGAAGUAGACAACAGAGAUACACAAAGGACAGAUAAAAUCAAAUUACAACAGAAUGGGAACUCUCAACCAAAUGAAGAAAGCCUCUCAAUUAAAAUGGAAGAGGUUUAGAGCAAAGAAUGGACGUUUGACUCAACUAAGGAAUGAAAUCCAAAUAUUUUUAUUUCCCAGAAUGAGGAAGAAAAUGUCAAAACAAUCAACUUGAAUAUGUUGAUAGUACUAGUAGCUCUUCCAAUUCUUUUGAUAACUUUUUUGUCGUCAUACUCUAAAGCAAGAGAGCACGGACCAGUAGUUAUACCAUAAAAAGGCAGAUGUUAUCAGAACUAUUAGUCUAAAAAUACAUGCAUUUCUGUGAUGGCUGUACUUAUUUGUAAAAUGAUUUAUGUUAAGUCUUGUUGUAAGCUAUUCCAAAUAAAUAGAAACUCAAAGAUGUAAACCUGU